rnacentral:rRNA from 1 species
GACGAACGCUGGCGGCAUGCCUAACACAUGCAAGUCGAACGAAAAGUUCGGGUCUAGGGGCGCACGGGUGCGUAACGAGGGGGAACCAGCACUUAGGUUCGGAAUACCUCCCCGUGAGGGGUGCUAAUGCAGGAUAGUGUCUUCGGACCAAAGAUUUAUGGCCGUUGGAUGGGCCCGGGUUGGAUUAGCUGGUUGGUAGGGUAAAAGCCUGCCAAGGCGACGAUCCAUAGCUGGUCUGGGAGGAUGCUCAGCCACGCUUGGACUGAGGCCCGGCCCAGUCUGCGACGGGGCGGAGCAGUAGGGAGUAUUAUACGCGGGGCCAUAGCCUGGUCCAGCAACGUCGCGGGUGUGAUGAAGGCCUUAGGGUUGUAAUUCUCUUUUUGCCGGGAUGAUAGUGACAGUACCGGGUAAAUAAGCACCGGCUAACUCCGUG